GGUGAGAUGGCCGAGUUGGUUAUGGCGCCAGGUUCAGGACACUGAAUCACUAUUCCUGGUCACGAAAGUGGCGUGGGUUCGAGUCCCACUCUCAUCA
rnacentral:tRNA from 1 species